rnacentral:rRNA from 1 species
UGCAAGUUGAGCGAAGCUUUUUGGUAGUUUACUACUAGAAAUGACUGAGCGGCGAACGGGUGAGUAACGCGUGAGCAAUCUACCUUAGUUACUGGGAUAGCCCGAGGAAACUCGGAUUAAUACCGGAUAUUCUUAUUUUUUCACAUGAAGUUUUAAGGAAAGGUCAGCCGAACUAAGAUGAGCUCGCGUUCUAUCAGCUAGUUGGUGGGGUAAAAGCCUACCAAGGCUACGACGGAUAGCUGGACUGAGAGGACGAUCAGCCACACUGGGACUGAGACACGGCCCAGACUCCUACGGGAGGCUGCAGCAGGGAAUAUUGUGCAAUGAGCGAAAGCUUGACACAGCGACACCGCGUGUGGGAUGACGGUUCUAGGAUUGUAAACCACUUUCAGGAGGGAAGAAAAUGACGGUACCUCCACAAGAAGACCCGGCCAACUAUGUGCCAGCAGCCGCGGUAAUACAUAGGGGUCAAGCGUUGUCCGGAUUUAUUGGGCGUAAAGAGCUCGUAGGCGGUUCAACAAGUCGGUCGUAAAAGUUUAGGGCUCAACCCUAAAAUGUCGAUCGAUACUGCUGUGACUAGGAUACGGUAGAGGUGAAUGGAAUUCCGAGUGUAGCGGUGAAAUGCGUAGAUAUUCGGAGGAACACCAAUUGCGAAGGCAGUUCACUGGACCGUGAUCGACGCUGAGGAGCGAAAGCUAGGGGAGCAAACAGGAUUAGAUACCCUGGUAGUCCUAGCUGUAAACGAUGGAUACUAGAUGUAGGAACUGGAUUGACGGUUUCUGUAUCGUAGCUAACGCGUUAAGUAUCCCGCCUGGGGAGUAC